rnacentral:lncRNA from 1 species
GGAAAGAGUAGGAACACAUCAAAGCAAACAUAAAAUAGAUAUUAUUGUUAUAAUACUCAUAUUUUUAGAUUAGGAAACAGGUUCAGAGAGGUUUCGGUGGCUUGCCCAGGGUUAUACAGCUAGAAUCAGGUAAGAUUCAAACUCAGGUCAUAGGCUUUUAGACUUAUAACCAGAAAGGACUUAAAGGUCAGGGAGACCAGCCCCUUUGUUUUACAGAUGAACUCACCAAGGUCCAGAGUGACUUGACCAAGGUCACACAGAAAGUAGCAGACCCAGGAUUUGAACCCCAGGUCUCUGACUCCGAGUCUUGAAGCCUUUCCACUGUGCCAGGUUCUCCCGACUCUAAUUCCAGUGAUUUCUCUGCUAUCCAUUGAUGCCAAAAGCUCUGGGUAUACACACAACUAGAAGAAUGCUCCUUCUUACAAAAGCCUUUGGGGAUUGUGGGACAACCUCAGAAAGAGCCUGAAUUUUAAUUCCAUCCCCAGGUCAGCCACAGAGCUAUGGAUUUUUCUACCACAGCAACUAACAAUAAUGGUAGUAAUAAUAAUUGGCAUUUACAAUGCACUUUAAGGUUUAUGGUUUACAUAUUCUUUCACUCUGUGUCUUUCUCUCUCCAUCUCUGUCUCUGUCUUUCUCUCUCUCCUUUGAGACUGGAUCUCCCUAGUUCAACCAGACUGGAAGUACCGCAACCACUCACCACAUCAACUCAAUCCCAAAACUGAUCAACAUGGGUAUUUUGACCUGCUCUGUUUCCAGAAAAUCAGCUUAACUCACUGCAGCUCAGAACUCCUGAGUUCUGGUGAUCUACCAGUCUCAGCCUUCCUGAUACCUGGGAUGACCAGCCUGCCCCCACUAGGCCCAGCCAUACAUUUUCAUUUGAUGGUCAAGAAAAUUCUUUGGGGGGAAGCUAGAUGGCAUGGUGACAGAGCAACAGCCCUGGAUUCAGGAAGACCUCAGUUUAAAUCUGGCCUCAGACACUUGACACUUACUAGCUGUGUGACCCUGGGCAAGUCACUUCACCCCACUGCCUUGCCAAAAAAAGAAAAAGAAAAGAAAACUCUUUGGGACUCUCCUAGGGCAGCAAAAGCCAAAGAUCCCAUUCUUUUGGGGGAAAUGCUUGGGAACACCAACAGCACAGUGAUUUUAGUUCUGUCCAAUUCUUUCUGUUGGACAUCCCUGAAGCCAGACAGACACGCUACCUGCAAGCACUCCUCCAAAUAUCACUGUGAAGUAAGAGGAUUGUAUAGGCCAACAGCCUCAACCAAGAGCCAGCGGCCCAGAAAAGAAAGAGACUUUCACUACUUGCAAGUUUUCCAAGCCAGAACACCUGUCCAAUCAAAAACAACUCCCAGAAGGUGA